rnacentral:rRNA from 1 species
GUGAGGAAUAUUGCACAAUGGGCGAAAGCCUGAUGCAGCAACGCCGCGUGAGUGAUGAAGGCCUUUGGGUCGUAAAACUCUGUCCUUGGGGAAGAAAAAAAUGACGGUACCCUUGGAGGAAGCCCCGGCUAACUACGUGCCAGCAGCCGCGGUAAUACGUAGGGGGCAAGCGUUAUCCGGAAUUAUUGGGCGUAAAGAGUGCGUAGGUGGUUUUGUAAGCGUAGGGUGAAAGGCAGUAGCUCAACUAUUGUUAGCCCUGCGAACUGUGAGACUUGAGUGCAGGAGAGGAAAGUGGAAUUCCUAGUGUAGCGGUGAAAUGCGUAGAUAUUAGGAGGAACACCAGUGGCGAAGGCGACUUACUGGGCCGUAACUGACGUUGAAGCGCGAAAGCGUGGGGAGCGAACAGGAUUAGAAACCCCAGUAGUCC